CCCGGCGGUGAUACCGGAGGGGAAACACCUCUUCCCAUACCGAACAGAGCCGUUAAGCCCUCCAGGGCCGAUGGUACUGCGCUGGCAACGGCGUGGGAGAGUAGGUCGCUGCCGGGU
rnacentral:rRNA from 1 species